AUCUUAUUUUCAUGAAGCUUUAUAGGAAUGUAUGCACUUUAUUAUUAUUAUCAUUAUUUUAAAAACGGUCUUAUGACAACAACUUCCAAAUAGACUCUCGGUAUUCUUCCCUCCAAGAACUUCCCGCCUUAUUUUUGGUAGACUCGAACUCACAACCUCUCGAUUGGAAGUCGGAGUUGCUUACCAUCAGAGCAGCCCCUCUUAUCUCAAAAACGGUCUUAUGAAAUCUACAUAUAUAAUUUACAAUAAGUGAUAGUUCCCCUUUAUUAUAUACAACUACUUAGACGUAUGAAUAUUAAUUUUUUCUUUUUUGGGGCAUUUCUUAUAAUAUAGUUGUUAUGCACUGACAUUAGGGAACUCAAAGGAAAGAUGAAAAGUCAUGUUUAUAUUUUAUCUUUUGUAGAUCUUUUUACAAUACGAUAGUUGCCCGCCUUAAGACAAGAGGGGUUGCUCUGAUGAUAAGUAACCCCCACUUCUAACCGAAAGGUUGUGAGUUAGAGUCUUCCCAAGAGCAAGGUGAGAAGUUCUUGAAGGGAAGGAUGCCGGGGGUCUAUUUGAAAACAGCCUCUUUAUCCAAGGGUAGGGAUAAGGUCUGCAUACACACUACCUUCCUCAGAUCCCACUAAGUAGGAUUAUACUGGGUUGUUGUUGUUGUUGUUGUAUAGUUGCCCGCCUUGGACGUAGUUUGCAAGUAGAAUUUUUGACUUUUGUAAUUCUGUUUGUUUGAGUUGUUUUUGU
rnacentral:lncRNA from 1 species